rnacentral:rRNA from 1 species
GACGAACGCUGGCGGCGUGCUUAACACAUGCAAGUCGAACGGAAAGGCCCUGCUUUUGUGGGGUGCUCGAGUGGCGAACGGGUGAGUAACACGUGAGUAACCUGCCCUUGACUUUGGGAUAACUUCAGGAAACUGGGGCUAAUACCGGAUAGGAGCUCCUGCUGCAUGGUGGGGGUUGGAAAGUUUCGGCGGUUGGGGAUGGACUCGCGGCUUAUCAGCUUGUUGGUGGGGUAGUGGCUUACCAAGGCUUUGACGGGUAGCCGGCCUGGGAGGGUGACCGGCGACAUUGGGCCUGAGAUACGGCGCAGACUCCUACGGGAGGCAGCAGGGGGGAAUAUUGCACAGUGGGCGGAAGCCUGAUACAGCAACGCCGCGUGCGGGAUGACGGCCUUCGGGUUAAAAACCGCUUUCGCCUGUGACGAAGCGUGAGUGACGGUAAUGGGUAAAGAAGCACCGGCUAACUACGUG